rnacentral:rRNA from 1 species
AGUGAACGCUGGCGGUAGGCCUAACACAUGCAAGUCGAACGGCCGCACAGUAAGAGCUUGCUCUUACGGGUGGCGAGUGGCGGACGGGUGAGGAAUACAUCGGAAUCUACUUUUUCGUGGGGGAUAACGUAGGGAAACUUACGCUAAUACCGCAUACGACCUACGGGUGAAAGCAGGGGAUCUUCGGACCUUGCGCGAUUGAAUGAGCCGAUGUCGGAUUAGCUAGUUGGCGGGGUAAAGGCCCACCAAGGCGACGAUCCGUAGCUGGUCUGAGAGGAUGAUCGGCCACACUAGAACUGAGACACCGUCCAGACUCCUACGGGAGGCAGCAGUGGGGAAUAUUGGACAAUGGGCGCAAGCCUGAUCCAGCCAUACCGCGUGAGUGAAGAAGGCCUUCGGGUUGUAAAGCCCUUUUGUUGGGAAAGAAAAGCAGCAGGUUAAUACCCCGCUGUUCUGACGGUACCCAAAGAAUAAGCACCGGCUAACUUCGUG